CGUUGAUGGAAAGUGUACGUUUGUGGUUUUAUUGUGAUGUCGACUACUAGUAUAAUAGUAUAAGCUUGUGCUUUUCUCUGUGAUGAAUGUUUUUGCGUGUGUUUGUGCUGUAUUUCUAUCACGCAUUGUUGUCAUUUUAGCAAUAUUUUUUAACAUUGUCAUGAAGCGGGAAGUUUGAUUAGCCAUUAAACCAGGUUCAACC
rnacentral:lncRNA from 1 species